GGUGAAGCUCUGUGUUGGUGAAACUGGCCUUCUCGUGAGCUUCCAUGUAUUUCUCCAGGUCCCUGUGGAUCUCAGACAGAAUUUGGGCCUGGGGCGCCGGGUGCAGCUCCACCACAGGGGGGCCCGCUUCCUGGAGGGCGCGCUCACCAGCCUCGUCCGCCUCCAGAACAUCUCGGAUCUCUCUCAGGGACGACUCCACGUCGGUGAAGACACCCGAGAGGACUGCAGGGGCAAAGAAAACGUAUUUCAGCCGGACUUCGAAGCGCCGAGCUGCUCGUAGUUUGAAGAGAAACGUAAAAUAAAAGAUGAAAUGGACCAACAGAACUCGCCUGACCCUCAUGAAUUCAUCAUUUACUGAGAGGACGACUUUCUGACUGUUGGACACUGGAGGAAAAAGCCUGACUUUAUACACAAAAUCCGGUACAGUUUGUUUCUUAAAUCAUAUCC